AUUAGCUAGUAGGUGGGGUAACGGCUCACCUAGGCGACGAUCCCUAGCUGGUCUGAGAGGAUGACCAGCCACACUGGAUCUGAGACACGGUCCAGACUCCUCCGGGAGGCAGCAGUGGGGAAGAUUGCACAAUCGGCCCAAGCCUGCUGCAGCCUUGCCACGUCAGCGAAUGCAGCCUUCGGGUUGUAGAGUCCUUUCAGUAGUUAAGAGGGGAGGAAAGAUAUAACCUUUGCUCAUUGACGUUACCCGCAGAAGAAGCACCGGCUAACUCCGUGCCAGCAGCCGCCGUAAUACGGAGGGUGCAGCCGUUAAUCUAAAUUACUGGGCGUAAAGCGCACGCAGGCGGUUUGUUAAGUCAGAUGUGAAAUUCCCCGGCUCAACCUGGGAACUGCAUCUGAUACUGGCAAGCUUGAGUCUCGUAGAGGGGGGGUAGAUUUCCAGGUGUAGCGGUGAAAUGCCGUAGAAGAUCUGGAGGAAUACCGGUGGCGAAGGCGGCCCCUUGGACGAAGACUGACGCUCAGGUGCGAAAGCGUGGGGAGCAAACAGGAUUAGAUACCCUGGUAGUCCACGCCGUAAACGAUGUCGACUUGGAGGUUGUGCCCUUGAGGCGUGGCUUCCGGAGCUAACGCGUUAAGUCGACCGCCUGGGGAGUACGGCCGCAAGGUUAAAACUCAAAUGAAUUGACGGGGGCCCGCACAAGCGGUGGAGCAUGUGGUUUAAUUCGAUGCAACGCGAAGAACCUUACCUGGUCUUGACAUCCACGGAAGUUUUCAGAGAUGAGAGUGUGCCUUCGGGAACCGUGAGACAGGUGCUGCAUGGCUGUCGUCAGCUCGUGUUGUGAAAUGUUGGGUUAAGUCCCGCAACGAGCGCAACCCUUAUCCUUUGUUGCCAGCGGUCCGGCCGGGAACUCAAAGGAGACUGCCAGUGAUAAACUGGAGGAAGGUGGGGAUGACGUCAAGUCAUCAUGGCCCUUACGACCAGGGCUACACACGUGCUACAAUGGCGCAUACAAAGAGAAGCGACCUCGCGAGAGCAAGCGGACCUCAUAAAGUGCGUCGUAGUCCGGAUUGGAGUCUGCAACUCGACUCCAUGAAGUCGGAAUCGCUAGUAAUCGUGGAUCAGAAUGCCACGGUGAAUACGUUCCCGGGCCUUGUACACACCGCCCGUCACACCAUGGGAGUGGGUUGCAAAAGAAGUAGGUAGCUUAACCUUCGGGAGGGCGCUACCACUUGA
rnacentral:rRNA from 1 species